GACGAACGCUGGUGGCGUGCUUAACACAUGCAAGUCGAACGGAAAGGCCCUGCUUUUGUGGGGUGCUCGAGUGGCGAACGGGUGAGUAACACGUGAGUAACCUGCCCUUGACUUUGGGAUAACUUCAGGAAACUGGGGCUAAUACCGGAUAGGGGCUCCUGCUGCAUGGUGGGGGUUGGAAAGUUUCGGCGGUUGGGGAUGGACUCGCGGCUUAUCAGCUUGUUGGUGGGGUAGUGGCUUACCAAGGCUUUGACGGGUAGCCGGCCUGAGAGGUUGACCGGCCACAUUGGGACUGAGAUACGGCCCAGACUCCUACGGGAGGCAGCAGUGGGGAAUAUUGCACAAUGGGCGGAAGCCUGAUGCAGCAACGCCGCGUGCGGGAUGACGGCCUUCGGGUUGUAAACCGCUUUCGCCUGUGACGAAGCGUGAGUGACGGUAAUGGGUAAAGAAGCACCGGCUAACUACGUG
rnacentral:rRNA from 1 species